UACGUAGGGUGCAAGCGUUGUCCGGAAUUAUUGGGCGUAAAGAGCUCGUAGGCGGUCUGUCGCGUCGGCUGUGAAAACCCGGGGCUCAACCCCGGGCCUGCAGUCGAUACGGGCAGACUAGAGUGUGGUAGGGGAGACUGGAAUUCCUGGUGUAGCGGUGAAAUGCGCAGAUAUCAGGAGGAACACCGAUGGCGAAGGCAGGUCUCUGGGCCGAUACUGACGCUGAGGAGCGAAAGCGUGGGGAGCGAACAGG
rnacentral:rRNA from 1 species